rnacentral:lncRNA from 1 species
GUGUGAUGGGAUUGGAGUGCAUCACAACAACCCUUCGUCGGCCAUCUUGUCCCGGCAGCGGGUCACCGAGCGUCGUUUUAGGUAGACGUCAACAUCUAAACGCCGGAGAUGCUUUCAACGCAUUUUUGCGCGGCCGAAGUCCCAACGGUUUCUACGCGAGUAACGUACGGGUAAACCUGGGAACGUAUAUGCAUGUGUGGGGGUGAAGUGAUGUCUCUAACGAAGGCCUUUAGUUUAUCUUCACGGCGGUAUCUGCGGCUUCUUUCAUACUGAUGGCGUUUCUUCUGGGCAGAGGAAAGUCCAGCGUCGUGUUUUAUAUUCUGGUCAACACGGAUUUUCCUGAGACAAGUUCCAGGAACCGGGGCUUCUGGAGACCCGAAGCUCAGUUCUUCGCCCAUUGCCACAGCGACUGAUGUAGUCGUUAAGUAACUUAGAUUAAUUUCCCCCCAUUACCGGUAGUGACCACGGAGUUCAUUCCUGCCCGCACCGUCCCUCCCAACGGAAUGGGAUAGUUUAAUGUUCGUUUUCAUGUGUAGAAAGACCUCCCUUCUUUGAGAGCACAGCGCACCCGCGCGCGCGCAUUCACGCCAAGAAAGUUUUCCCAAGGUUUGUUUCAAUAAUUUUUGUGUUGUCAGUUUCACUUUAGAAGCAAUUGAAACCCCUGUAUUUUGUUACAAGGUUUAAUAAAUGCGUACGACUCUUCCAUUUCUGCUUCCUUUCCCCUCCCCACCUCACUCCCGUUGGAGAUGCCAACCGUUAUCAUAGGCUAAAUUCCAUGGGUACGUGGAGUAAUCCUAGGUUUUCUACUUUGUCCCUUUGAUCUUUCUGGCCAUUUCUCCAGUGAGAUCAUACUGUUAAGUAUUGUUCACAGCACUGUCUUCGAUGCUGAGAAUACAUAACCCAUGGUAGGUACUGAAAUAAAAAUGGAAUGUUUGAGAAACUGAGAUGUUAUAACAUGACCGAGGGAGGAUAGAGCUCAUUCCCUGUCGUUGCUCUUUUUUUUUUUUUUCCAGAAUUUCCUGGUUAUUCUAGUUUUUGUUUAUUUAUUUUGUUUUUCGAAAUGCACUUUAAGAUGCUUCCUCCCUCCCAUCUCACCUCUUCACCCCUCCAUUACACAUAAACACACACACACACACACACACACACACACACACCCUCAAUAUCCUCGUAGUUUUAUUGGGAUGAUGUGAAAUUUACAAAUUAAUUUGGGGAGAGGAUGAGUUUUCCUGUUCAAGAACAUUUUAUGUUUUCACAUCCCUUCCCCACCCCCCAAUAUUUUGUACCUGUGGAGAAUGUUUCAAAUUUUCUGCAGACAGAUCUUCAUGUUAUAUAUUACCCUUUAUUCCCAGAUAUCUUGUCAUCUUUGUUGCUGUUGAAAAUGACAACCUAUGAGAUUUUUUAUUCCUUUGGGGCCUGGCACACUGAAGAUAUCCAGUAAUGGAAGGGAUCUAUGCCUAGUGAAUGAACAACCUCUAGAACAGUCCUGUCUAUAGCCAAAUUAAGUAAGGAAGAAAGAAACAGGUGAAUCAGUUUUAAUAACAUAAUUUAGGGGCACCUGAAUGGCUCAGUCCGUUAACCAUCUGACUUCCGCUGGGGUCAUCAUCUCUGGUCUGUGAGUUUGAGCCCCACAUCAGGCUCUUCAGAUCCUCUGUCUCCCUCUCUCUCUGCUGCUCCCCCCCUCUCUCUCUCUUUCUCUCUCUCUCUCACACACACACUCAAAAAGAAAUAUUUAAAAAAACCCACAUAAUUUAUUUAACCUAACAUGUCCAAAAUAUUCUUGCUCAGCACAAAAUCAAUGUAAAAAUAUUUAUGAGAGAUUUUACAUUCUUUUUUGUUCCUCGCAUUAUGUCUUUGGAAUCUCCAUGUAUUUUACACAAACAGCACAUCUCAGUUCCUACGUGGCUAUUUCAAGAACUCACUCAACUGUACGUGGCUCAUGGCAGCCUUAUGGACAAUAAACUCUAGAAUGCCCUCUGGUCCCAAAUAUCCUGCUCUUCUCUAGCCUCAUCCUUGGUUUAAAACUUUCAUAUCAGUGGGUCUUCAUAUACGCUGUCCUCCGUGGACCUAAACUUUUGACCUUAAAGGGGGUUGACCGGUCCAAAAGUCAUUGGGCCAAUAUGAACCAAUCAAAAAUUCUCUGUUCAAAAACUGGAACUGAGUUGCAGAAAUUGAGGUGACCUGAUGUCAGGGGCUGGGAGGUGUCGUCUGUAGGAGACACCGGAAGGUCUGAUGAAUCAAAAAUGCCGAAUGGAGCCAAGGGCAGAGCACAGAGGAGAGAUGCAUAGAGCUUCGUUCUCUGGGUUCCUAACGUGGAGAUUCUGGGUCCUCUGAGCCAUCCGUACUCCUGUCACUGGGGCAGGAGCCUCCCUUGGCUCAGGUUGGGUCAAGUUGCAGCAACCAGGAGACCCAAUUAAGACACUUAAAUUUAAUCACAGUACUUGUGCUAAGUACUAUAAGUACUUGUGCUAAGUAUUCAUGCUUUCAAGUCCACACACUUUUUAGGUUCAUAUACUUACAAUGGAUCCUAACAUUGAAUGUCUCCUGCAAACAUAUUUGCAUAGGUAAAGGGCACCCUUUUACUAUUCAAAUGAAAUGUAUUCCUCAAAAACAAAUAUUUGCCCUUCUCUAGUAAGGGUGAGGGGAGAGUUCACUCACAGAGAGCUAAAAGUUAUCAUAAAACCUCUAAUUUUGCCUAGACUUUCGAUAAGACCUUCAACAAUAUGUUUCCUUGAUUUUGACCCAUUCCCUCACGGGUGUCCACAAAGUUGACUGGCUUAGGUCUAAUACUGUAAGCCAUUCAUUAGACUCUACAUUGGCUGCUUUAAGAAAAAGGUCCUUGUCUUGAUUUUUAGUUUAUGAAGUCUAUAUUUUAUUUUGACAUUAUUAAUGUUAUCGUUUUCAAUAAUCUACUUAUUAUUAUAAAAUAAUAUUGACAACGGCAAUAAUAUAUUCAAAUAAUUGCCCAAACAUGGCUGACUACCUAAACUUGGCAAUGAUUACCGCAUCAACUAAAUUGCUGAUUGAUAAUUCAACAUGAAAAUUCAUGAUCUCAUGUCCACGUACGAUAAAAGUGUAACUCAGAAAUUACAGGUUAGGGGCGCCUGGGUGGCUUGGUCGGUUAAGCGUCCGACUUCAGCUCAGGUCAUGAUCUCACGGUCUGUGAGUUCGAGCCCCGCAUCGGGCUCUAUGCUGAGAGCUCAGAGCCUGGAGCCUGUUUCAGAUUCUGUGUCUCCCUCUCUCUCUGCCCCUCCCCUGUUCAUGCUCUGUCUCUCUCUGUCUCAAAAAUAAAUAAACGUUAAAAAAAAAUUUAAAAAAAAGAAGAAAAGAAAAAAAAGAAAUUACAGAUUAUUUUAAUGCAUUAUACCCACCUUUUAAAAUUUUCUGUGCAUAUACAAGUGGUCUCGUGGCUGAAAAAUUAAAUAUCCUAUUACUUCUCGUAGGCAAAUUUCUAGGUGAUUCUACGCCUAAGGGAAAUGUAGAGAGUGACUUUGGGUUGAAAUCCAGGCCAGAGAUGAACAGUUGGUCCAGUAAAAGGCAAGGUGACAUCAUUAGAGGGUUUCAGAGUAGAGCUGGGAUUUAGGGUACAGUGGGAACAACAACACUGCUGUCGAGAGCUAGCAUUUCCUGAGUUCUAAUUUACAACGUGCCAAGCAUUGUCGAGAAGUCUCCAUUGCUUUUCUUUUUUUAAUGUUUACUUAGUAUUUUUGAGACAGAGAGAAACAGAGUGCAAGCAGGGCAGGGGAGGGGCGGAGAGAGAGGGAGACACAGAAUCCGAAGCAGGUUCCAGGCUCUGAGCUGUCAGCACAAGAGCCCGAUGCGGGGCUCAAACCCACCAACCUUGAGAUCGUGACCUGAGCCAAAGUCAGACGUUUAACCGACUGAGCCACCCAGGCGCCCCUCCAUUUCUUUUCAAACACCUUCUUAUCACAGCACUCUGAGGGAGGUGUCAUGAUUACUGAGGACUGGUGAUAUUAAGAACAUAGCUAGUUAGUUUCUGCUCAGUGAGCCGGUGUCUUCACCCUUUGCAGAGUAGUGCGUUUCCUCAGAAAUACAAUAGGAGUCACAUAGGUUAUUUGAAAUUUUCUAGUAGCCACAUUUCAAAAAGCGAAAAGGAACAAGAAAAAUCUAUUUUGAUAGUACUUUAACUCACUAUUAUAGAAAUAUUAUUUCAACAAGUUAUCUAAUAUAAAAAAUACUGAGAUUUUUUUUUUUAAUUCUAUUUUUCAGACAACUCUUUGAAACCUGGUACGUAUUUUACACGUAAAGCUCAUCUCGGUUUGGACCAGCCACAUUUCAAGUGCUUCAUAGCCAUAUAUGGCUAGUGGCUACUAUCUUGGAUGAUAUAGUUCCACAGUAACUAAAUACUGUGAUGAAAACACAAGCAAAUACCUGUUCUGUAGUAGAAUCCAGAUGUUUCCAAGGAAAUGAUUAUUCUGAGCUGGUCUUGAAGCCCAGAGAGCAUCCCUGAAAGGUGAUGUUUCUUCUAUGCAUCGUAUGCAUUUCCCCUCGUACUAGGCCACUGACCAGAGGACUCUGAUAACAGAACAUAGCCCAGGCCAGGCCACUGCAUUUCCCACCCAUCCACUAAUCUGUGAGUCUGAGUGAGCCUUGAGGAGGAACUGGGUCUAACAAUCCAUUUCCAGGAAGUCUUAUUGGUCCGAAGAUAUUUAGUGUGUGGUUUUGGUGUGAGGUUGCUUGUCAAUGCUAUCUAUUAUGAAUCUGGCCAAUUAAAGUAAACUCUCUUGGGCUAACGUUCUUCCUCUAUAAAAUGGAGACAGUGAGAGAACCUGAUUUUCAGGGUUGUAUUAAGAAUGUUCUAUAAUAAUGCAGGCCAAUCGGUUCAUGUGCUACUUGACCCAUGGAGAACUGGGAGACAGACUCCAACGAAAAUGUGGGGACCUCUUCCAUGGAACCUUCUCUAAAGGAAGAUGAUAUUCAGCCCAGGCUAGAUCAAUACCAUCCUGCAAUAUUGUCCCAGGGAACUCACCGCGAUACUGAAAAUGUUCAAACUGCUCAGAAUUGACUUUAUCUCCUCCCCACUAACUUUUGUUCUUCUGGUAACUCUGAGAAUGGUACCACAGUUCAAAGCAUCAUGCAAAGCAAAGCUCUUUCCCAGAGACCUAGAGUCAUCCCAAACCAGUGAUUCUCAACUCCUAGGGUGCUAGGCUGAGAUGUUAGAACAGAGUGGUAGGAGGGCAUGGGAAAGCCGUAUAUAAGUUAGAAAAACGUAGCCAGUGAUCAGAAGCAGGUUUACCCAGAAGCUAAUGAAACUCAAAUAUUAGGCGCAAAGGCCUGAGAGGGGCUCUUGGGACUUUGUUCACUGGGUCUCAUUUUUUUGCAAAAUUUCAAUGUUAAAAUAUUUUCUUCACAGCCGGUUAGACUUGUUGCCUAUUGGAAGUUAAUCUUCCCUUUCAUUACAGUUCACCUUUUGUCUGAUUAUGGUGAGAU